CCUACGGGUAGCAGCAGUGGGGAAUAUUGGACAAUGGGCGAAAGCCUGAUCCAGCCAUGCCGCGUGUGUGAAGAAGGCCUUCGGGUUGUAAAGCACUUUCAGUGGGGAAGAAAGCCUUGGGGCUAAUACCCUCGAGGAAGGACAUCACCCACAGAAGAAGCACCGGCUAACUCCGUGCCAGCAGCCGCGGUAAUACGGAGGGUGCGAGCGUUAAUCGGAAUUACUGGGCGUAAAGCGCGCGUAGGCGGUCUGAUAAGCCGGUUGUGAAAGCCCCGGGCUCAACCUGGGAACGGCAUCCGGAACUGUCAGGCUAGAGUGCAGGAGAGGAAGGUAGAAUUCCCGGUGUAGCGGUGAAAUGCGUAGAGAUCGGGAGGAAUACCAGUGGCGAAGGCGACCUUCUGGACUGACACUGACGCUGAGGUGCGAAAGCGUGGGUAGCAAACAGGAUUAGAUACCCUAGUAGUC
rnacentral:rRNA from 1 species